CCGGCGACCGGCGCACGGGUGAGUAACACGUAUGCAACCUGGCCCGUGACAGAUGGAUAACCGGGAGAAAUCCCGCCUAAUACAACAUAAUGCCGGGAGGGGACAUCCCCUGCCGGUCAAAGGGGGCGACCCCGGUCAUGGAUGGGCAUGCGGCGCAUUAGGUAGUUGGUGGGGCAACGGCCCACCAAGCCGACGAUGCGUAGGGGUUCUGAGAGGAAGGUCCCCCACAUUGGAACUGAGACACGGUCCAAACUCCUACGGAAGGCAGCAG
rnacentral:rRNA from 1 species